GAUUCAAUCAACAGUGUUCAAUCACCGUGUUUUGCUGGUGUUCAAUCGUAGUCGCAUGUCGCUGCAGAAUGAUUUUUAAUAAUCUCCUUGUGAUCAGCGUGUUCAUUGUUGGGUUCCUAAACCAGAGUAACAUUGUUAUUUGCUCCCAGAGUUCAGGGAAUUUCAGAUUUAGACACAUCCUUAAUCACUUCCCGACAAAUAGAUGAAGAAAUUAAAACUCAGUUGUUACAAGGUGACCCAUAAGUAAUGGUCACUUCAUGAAAAUAUUGAUGACAGAAAAUAUAUAGGAUAAGAAAACUCAUAUGCAAAAUAUAAACUGCUGUAGAAGAAAAAAUGAACCACCAUAAUUUUUUUACCGCAUUUUUACAGAAACAUGCGCUAUAACUAGCGUUUUAUCCGUUCGUCCGUUUAUCUAUAGCAGCGUUAUCUCCUCACAGGAAGUAUGUAGCAAGUUUAUUAGAUUUUGUAUUUAAUUCCUCUAUAAGUUUAGAUGUGCCGAAACAAAAGAAAUUGAUGAAAUGAUCCAAUUGAUUUUCCAAAAACGACCAAAUCGAUUUGAUUAAAAAUUGUUAGGGAGGUAGUUUUGAACCAAAAGAAGGAAACAGUAUACUUCUCAUCCCGUAUCCGUGGAACGUGACUUGAAACGUGGUAUAAUAUCACGCAACAAAGAGAAAAAUCGAAAAUUCAUUAGUCAAAACAUCAGUCUAGCCGUUCAUUUUUUUAAAUUGAUAUAACACAACGCAAAUCACAAGGAAUAAGAAAACUCUAGUUAGCAGCGUCAUAUAAUGUUAUCUAUGGUUAAGUUUGAUCGAAAAUUUGACAAAGUUUUGAAGUUGGCAGAUUGAUGUCUUUGUUUCUAGUAUCUUUAAACUUAUCGUGCUGAUAUCAUCUUUAACAAUGCUUCGUCCAAGAAGAUCGAAUCUUUCCAGACAAAGUCGUAGGAUUCGAAACAUUGUGAAUGAAAGGACUGAAGAAGAACGAGAAAUUGCACGUGCUUCUCAAUCACAAAAGCAAAAAAACAACCCGCGAAACGCCUCGGUACUGAUUUGAAUCGAGUAGCAUUUCGAUACGAUUGCAGCAGCAGUUUUCCAAUAUUAAUUCCGCAGUAUGAGCCAUUGCAUCCAUUGCUGGGUGGCAAAACACAUAAUUUGGGACAGACAUUACUGAAGAACAAUGAUUUAAUCUGACAAUGAAGAUACCUAUCUACUUGGAAGUGUUUGGAUUAACAGUGCACACUUUAGGAGUAAAAGUUAGCUCUGUAGUAAACUUGCUUCGAAACAUAAGCCAACUAAAACUAUGCAACGAAACGCGUUUGAUGGUGAGUAAAUUGAUGAACAAUAUGAUUUACAUUCAGUCUCUGAAGACGAUAACUUGGUCAUUGAAAUGCGCGUCAGACAGUGUAAUUGUGGGUGUUGGUGUAGUGGUGUUCAGUAUCAAUACGUCUGUUGAAUAAUUGAUUUUAUAAAUAGGAUGAAGGUUCACACAACUUUCAAGAAA